UACAGAGGUCCCGAGCGUUGUCCGGAUUCACUGGGCGUAAAGGGUGCGUAGGUGGUGAGGUAAGUCGGAUGUGAAAUCUCCAAGCUCAACUUGGAAACUGCAUUGGAAACUACCUUGCUAGAGGAUUUGAGGGGGGGGAUUGGAAUACUUGGCGUAGCAGUGAAAUGCGUAGAUAUCAAGUGGAACACCAGUGGCGAAGGCGAAUCCCUGGAAAAUACCUGACACUGAGGCACGAAAGCUAGGGGAGCAAACAGG
rnacentral:rRNA from 1 species